rfam:Picea glauca, whole genome shotgun sequence.
GGCUGUGAUCAUACCAGAGUUAAUGCACCGGAUCCCAUCAAAACCCCACAGUUAAGCAUGCUUGGUCUAGAGUAGUACUGGAAUGGGUGACCUCCCGGGAAGUCCUAGUGUUGCACCCU